AAAAUGAUAAUAACAAUAAAUAAGUUGAAGAGAAAUUCUUCCCUAAACAACGAAAGACAAAGAAAAGAAGUCUAUGAUAGUGGUAUGAAGCGUAUUAACUUGCAAACUUGGUACAAAUAACUCGUUUCCUAAGCAAGAUAUGAUUUUCCACGUGUUUAAUAAAUAAGAAAAAAACUGAUGCGAAGAGUCAAGGGUGAAAUUUGAAGCAAAGGAAAGGAGGAAAUCGGAUAAAUAAAAUGUAAAAAUAUGGCCUUUCUGAAUUCGUCUAUAGAAAGGUAAAAAGUACGAAGAACGUUCUAAAUCCAAGUAAAUAAAGAGGAAAAAAAAAGUUUUUGUAAUGGGAGUAAAGAAUUAAAUGAUCAAACGUUAGGAAAAAAAACCAAAUGCGAAAUAAUUGGUUUAUUUUUUUUUUUUGUUGGUAAAAUUAAAAACACACAGAGAAGAAGAAAAGGAAACCCCACCUAACUACUAAAUGGAAAAAAGACGGAAAGUGUUUCGAUAGAAGGAUGAAAACAAACCGAAACGAAAGGGGAUUUUAAAUAUUUGCUACGCGAUCAAUCACUUUCGGCACGAAAGCAAAACGAUUCGAAAAAAUAUUAAGUUUGUAUAUAUACCGAAUACAAAAAAAAAUGGUAAGGAUAAUUUACAACCUGGUUUUUGGAGUGACGGUUUAAGAAAAAGAAAGGGAAACAAAAAUUUUAAAAAGUACACUAAAAGGGACGAAGGGAAAAAAAAAACAAUAAACAAAAACAAGCUCAAAUAAAAUAAAACAGGAUGGCAAGAGAAAGAAAAUGCUCUGUCCUCUAUUGCGGCUGAUAUAAAUUAAAGAAUAACGAGACGCGUUUUGUGAAAGCACAAUUUAGCUAGAGAAAACCAAUCUAAAGUACUUUGUACUUAGUUUUAUGCGCAGUAAACAACAAUAUGUCUGCUACAGCGAAGAAGGAGGGCGAGAAAACAAGACACAGGUAAUUUAAGUAUCUUUUACCUAAGGGGGACGGCAUCAGCAAUCAAUUGGUAUGACGCAGAGAUAUGAUCUACAAGAAAGCAAUGUACUCGGUCACAAUGAAGCCGAAGCGACAAGUAUAGAAAAUUUUUUGAAACACGCGGCUUUAUUCAUUAAACUCCGAAGCAAUUGACAAAAUGAAGAAAUUGAAGUCAAACAGGUAAACAUGCGUUGGGCGACACAAAAAUUUGCCAAGGUUCCGUGGUCUCCGUUA